rnacentral:misc_RNA from 1 species
AACGCACCUUGCGCUCCUUGGUAUUCCGAGGAGCAUGCCUGUUUGAGUGUCAUUAAAUUCUCAACCCCGAGCGGAUUUGUUUUCCGUCUCGGAGGCUUGGAUCGUGGAGCGUGCUGGCUUUUUUACCUGCUUUGCGGGCUAGGGUCGGCUCCUCUGAAAUGCAUUCGCGGAAUUGACUCUCGGUCCGUUUCGGUCAUCGGUGUGAUAAGACGUUACGCCGUUGGCUAGGGCUUCGAGGGACCCGCAUACAGUGGUCUUCGGACGACUUUUUGACCAUUUGACCUCAAAUCAGGUAGGACUACCCGCUGAACUUAA